rfam:Sulfolobus tokodaii str. 7 DNA, complete genome.
AGCCGGGUCGUCUAGUGGUCAAGGAUCGAGGGCUUUGGCCCCUCGGACCUGGGUUCAAAUCCCAGCCCGGCUA